GGAAGGAUCAUUAGCACUCGAGGAUUUGUUUCCUUUUGGCUCUAUGUGGAUUUGGCAUUGUGUUAUUAUGUGUGUGAUUUCUUGUAAACCUAAUGUAUAUAUAUUCUUCUAAUGGACAUUGAAAUAAACAAUGAACAACUCUUAGCAAUGGAUAUCUUGGUUCCCGCAACGAUGAAGAACGCAGCGAAAUGCGAUACGUAAUGCGAAUUGCAGAAUUCAGUGAAUCAUCAAAUUUUUGAACGCAUGUUGCGCUCGGGAGAGCCCUUCCGAGCAUGCUUCUUUGAGUGUCGGUUUCCAUUUCUCACCCGGUGAGGAGACUGAGAUGUCGGCGGGGUUGCCGUCUCUUGAAUUCUUUUGCAAAGUCCAUGCGAUUCUUGGUUGAUUGAUAGUCGUUUAUGGCAAUCUGUGUGUGUGUGUGUGGUGUGUGUGUGUAUGUGUCUCGUACAUGUACGUUACAGCACACCCCGCACCCGCCCACAGAAACCACACACAAGAUCUCAAAUGAAGUAAGACUACCCGCUGAAUUUAAGCAUAUAAUUAAGCGGAGGAAAAGAAACUAACUAGGAUUCCCUUAGUAACGGCGAGUGAAGCGGGAAGAGCUCAAACCGAAAAUCUCUGUCCUCGUGGCAGCGAAUUGUGGUCUAUGGAGACGCGUUCAGUGUGCGACACCGGCCCAAGUCCGUUGGAAGACGGCGUCAGAGAGGGUGACAAUCCCGUAUCUGGCUGGAUGAUCGCCGCGUACGAACCGCUCUCUAAGAGUCGGGUUGCUUGGGAGUGCAGCCCUAAGUGGGUCGUAAAUUUGAUCCAAAGCUAAAUACAUGCGGGAGACCGAUAGCGAACAAGUACCGUGAGGGAAAGAUGAAAAGAACUUUGAAAAGAGAGUCAAAAGUACUUGAAAUUGCUGAGAUCGAAGGGAUGGCAACUAGUAUUGGCGCGGCGAUUUUACCGAGAGGCUCGGUGCGGGUGUCGGGUGUCGCGAUUGGCGCAAGCCUUCGUCGCCGGGCGCCUCGUGCCGGUCGAUCGAGUCCUGUCGCCGGGCUUAGGUCAGGAUGGAUUCGGAGUGGUCGAUAAGGGCCGCGGGAAGGUGGCUUCCGGGCGACCGGAAGAGCUUACAGACCGCGGUCGAUGGAUCGCUUCGGAUCGAGGUGCCGAACUGGUCGCUUUCGGGCUGGCCGCUCUGGCCGAUGGUCGGGUGUCGUGGCGGGGGAGCAAUGCUCUGCCGUCGCUGGCAGUCGCCAGAGGUCAGCCAGCGGACCUGGGACAGUUGGGAUUCUGACGAAAUGGUUGUCAUUCACCCGUCUUGAAACACGGACCAAGGAGUCUUACAUAUAUGCGAGUGAUCGGGUGGCAAACUCGUUCGCGGAUUGAAGGAGAUUCUGGAUGGUGCGAUGGGGGCAGCGAUGCUCCCUGCAGCGCCGGGCGGCUAAGACAAUUGUACGACCCCGAGCAUAUCUGUAGGGACCCGAAAGAUGGUGAACUAUGCUUGAGCAAGAUGAAGCCAGGGGAAACUCUGGUGGAAGUCUGAAGCGAUACUGACGUGCAAAUCGUUCGUCUGACUUGAGUAUAGGGGCGAAAGACUAAUCGAACCAUCUAGUAGCUGGUUCCUUC
rnacentral:misc_RNA from 1 species